GACGAACGCUGGCGGCGUGCUUAACACAUGCAAGUCGAACGGAAAGGCCCUGCUUGCAGGGUACUCGAGUGGCGAACGGGUGAGUAACACGUGGGUGAUCUGCCCUGCACUUCGGGAUAAGCCUGGGAAACUGGGUCUAAUACCGGAUAGGAGCCAUUUUUAGUGUGAUGGUUGGAAAGUUUUUUCGGUGUAGGAUGAGCUCGCGGCCUAUCAGCUUGUUGGUGGGGUAAUGGCCUACCAAGGCGGCGACGGGUAACCGGCCUGAGAGGGUGGACGGCCACAUUGGGACUGAGAUACGGCCCAGACUCCUACGGGAGGCAGCAGUGGGGAAUAUUGCACAAUGGGCGCAAGCCUGAUGCAGCGACGCCGCGUGGGGGAUGACGGCCUUCGGGUUGUAAACUCCUUUCGCUAGGGACGAAGCUUUUUGUGACGGUACCUAGAGAAGAAGCACCGGCUAACUACGUG
rnacentral:rRNA from 1 species